rnacentral:rRNA from 1 species
UACGUAGGGGGGCAAGCGUUGUCCGGAUUUAUUGGGCGUAAAGAGCGUGUAGGCGGCCAGGUAGGUCUGCUGUGAAAACUCGAGGCUCAACCUCGAGAUGUCGGCGGAAACCAUCUGGCUAGAGUCCGGAAGAGGAGAAUGGAAUUCCCGGUGUAGCGGUGAAAUGCGCAGAGUAUCGGGAAGAACACCCGUGGCGAAGGCGGUUCUCUGGGACGGUACUGACGCUGAGACGCGAAAGCGUGGGGAGCGAA